CUCUGGAAAGCGGACAUCGGCGAUGUCCCGCCGACGGUGAAAGCCGCGGCCGUGGCCGGGGGCCCGAUCGGUCCCCCGCGACGGCGCGCGGUGAAGCUCUCAGGCCCCAGGACAGAG
rnacentral:ncRNA from 1 species